rnacentral:rRNA from 1 species
GAUGAACGCUAGCGGCAGGCCUAAUACAUGCAAGUCGAACGGUGUCUUCGGACAUAGUGGCGCACGGGUGCGUAACACGUAUGCAACCUACCUUACAUUGGGGGAUAGCCUUUCGAAAGGGAGAUUAAUACCGCAUAAGACAGUAGCUGGGCAUCCAGCAGCUGUUAAAGAUUUAUCGAUGUAAGCUGGGCAUGCGUCCAAUUAGCUAGUUGGUGAGGUAACGGCUCACCAAGGCAAUGAUUGGUAGGGGAACUGAGAGGUCAAUCCCCCACACUGGCACUGAGAGACGGGCCAGACUCCUACGGGAGGCAGCAGUAGGGAAUAUUGGGCAAUGGACGCAAGUCUGACCCAGCCAUGCCGCGUGCAGGAUGAAGGCGUUAUGCGUUGUAAACUGCUUUUAUACAGGAAGAAACGACUCUUGCGAGAGGCAUUGACGGUACUGUAUGAAUAAGCACCGGCUAACACCGUGCCAGCAGCCGCAGUAAGAC